AUGGAAGAAUGGACAGACAGACGGAUUGCUGACAAACUGCUGGCUCCAGGCGGGAAGCAGCCAUGAACCAGUGAAAGGGGUUGUAUUUUUGGAACAUGUCUGUCGGGACCAGAGGAUCACAGCAAGAAGGAAGGGGGAGGGCAAGGAUACUUUUGUCUUUCCCCCACUGUGUACAGAACGCGAUGUAGAAUAUCAAAACGAUCCCAAGGUUGAGGAGAUGGUCAGCCAUCAGCACUCCAUCCUAGUGUUGCAUGAUCCUCUGCAAGUGGACUGUACAUCUUUGAUGUGAUCUCUUUGUACAAGUGCAUCAUUUUGAUCGAUCAUUUUGGGACUUUUGCAGACACUAAUAUUGUGCAACACUAAUGCUGUCUUUGAAAAAAAUGUGUCUGAUUUUAUGGCUCAAGAGUUGUACAGGAAUUCAUGGCUGCAUUUCAACAUGUUUACUUUUUCUGUGCCUCUUCACCAUUUGGAUAAGCCAAAGUAGACUGCAGUUGCUUUUGUUCGUGUUGAAUUACCUAAAUUAAUUUUAUUUGAUCAGAGAUUGAUAUUUAAGUCUCGGUAGUCCGUCCACUUUGCCACACUGAGCUGAUGUCUGCAACCUUUCUGCAUAUUUUAUCUGCAGCUAAACUUUCCCUGAAGCAAAGUGCAAAAAAGGCUUGAGACUGAUGAACUUCCUGUUUUUUUCCUUUUUAUAUGUCAAUAGUGAACUGCUGGACUUAAUUCUUUAUCCCCUCACUUCAUAUAAGGCUAAAUAAUUUACCAAAAUCGUUUGAGCCCCUGAGAACCAAAUGCAUAGCUGCGGAUGAUUGAUAAACCAUGUCUAUGUUAAAGUAACAAAUCCCCUGAAGCAGAGCGCUAAAACACAUUAGCUCUUUACACUGGUACUUGAUUAUGUCUUAAUAUUUCUACUUUUUACAAUUAAUCUUUUGAUUUAAUACAACAUGUUGCAAAAACUAAAAAGAUAAAGGAAUACAGGUCUCAAGCUUGAAAAAAAUGCAUGUGUAGUGUUCUUUAUGUGUAUUUCUUCACUUCUUAAGCAUUUGUUUGCUGAUAGUAUUUUCUCUGACAUCUGGCUUUAAUAUCUGCUGUUUUCUUACGUUAUUAUUUGUAUUAUUCUAUUAUCACUGCAAUUUUACUUUGCCCCAUUUUUGCUUGUCUGUUACUGGUCUAUUUUGUUUGUUUUUAAAGUAUGUUAAGUAACUUAUUUCACUUGUACAAACAUGUUGAUAUUUAUUAUCAUUGUACAUAUGUCCUUAUUUUUUAUAUGUGUACAUAUACACAAAUAAAAA
ensembl:lncRNA